AUCUGGAGUAACUGGACUCUAAUAUAUAUUACUGCUAGUAAUCCCUAGAUGUCUCAUACUUUUCAGAUCAUUUCUUUGUGAAGAAUCUGCAGUUCUAAGCCUUUUUGCUGCUGCUUUUUGAGAUGCCAUCUAAUUAAAGACUCCAUCAUCUUUUUUCCACUUUCUGCUUUCAUCUGAUCCUGUCUGACUGAUCUAUCCUAUGAUAUUCUGCCAUCAAAUUAAGUGCUUUAGGACCAAAACUGUUACCUUGAUUUUUUUGUUUACCACAUUUUUUCUUUUGUAUUGCUGUUCAGUCUUCUCAUCUUCAUCUCAUCCAUCUUUACAAAAAUUGGGAGGUGUUUGUUCAUCAUCUAAGUCUUCCAUUUACUCCAUGGCUUUGAAAAGUCACUAUUUGUGCUGUAGAUAAAAAUAAUGAUCAUGAUCAUGCCUACUAUUUUAUACAAAAUAGGAUCAGUAAAACAGACUGGCAGGUGAUGUUGUUGAAUUCUGACAAUACUUUUUUUCAUCCUGAUGCCUCUGGACUUCCUUCGUUCCACAUGAGUGUCGUGUGAUCAUUGUGUGGUUGUGGCUAUGGCAGUCUAGGACUUAAGUCCAAGAAGAAAUCUGAUUCUGUAUUCAAAUGAACACUGCUACUUUUGUCAAGUAAUUCAAGAAUAAAAUGAGGAUGCUGAGCAAAGGAAUGGGUAUGUUAAACCCAAGACAGUGAGUUUGGUAGUGAAAUAUUCUCAAGAGGAGGCAUAAUAGAAGAUUGGUAAUUUCUGCAGUAACAUACAGUCUCACCUCACUAUCAUGAUGUUCAACCUGGAGCACAAAAGAAUGACAUGUAUACAGACCUUUUCUGAAAGCUUGCUGCCCUACUGGAGUGCUUAAAAGACUAAAGAACUAUAAUAGUACUCAGUAGUACCCCCAGAAGUACUAUCUGAGGUGACAAUAUUGGAAGAAAAAAAAAGCAAGUUAUGAAAUGGGUCAUUGCAUACAGGCAGUUAUUGUGUGGAAAGAUCUUGUUAAAAAACAGUUACACCACUCUUAGGCUUCUCCUAUAAUCUAGUUUAUCUCCUUUCCCCGUUGCAACCUAAAGCUCAGCUUUCUGUCAUCCUCCCAUUUCCUGCAUUGUGUUUUGUGGGUUUUUUCUUGUUUGCUUUAAAGAACUUCUCUUGUUUAGAAUCUUAUCAACUCUUUACUAAAACAGAAAUCUGAUUUACUGGUUUCUGAAAGCACUAAGGCUUUCCCACUACCAGUAACUUACUGAGAUUUUGUUACAGUGAUGAUAUGAAUGUGAAAAUACAAAUAUGAAAAUUCAGAAACAGUAUUAAAUAUCCUCUAUUACAUUUUUCUAAUGCUUGAAUAAAUCAUAUAUGCAUUAUAUAUGGAAAAACUGUAAUUUGUGAGGUUAGGUUACCAGACUGGCAUACAUGUGAUAAAUACAACCACACCCCCCUCUGGUGGCAGAACACAGGUUUGCAGCUGAUCCUGAAGUGCAUUAGCUGCAGUUGAAUCGUACCUGAGUUGGAAGCCUGAGCCUUAAACUUUCUGUGCUGUAUCAGGAUGCACUCAGUAGCCACUUCUGUGACAUAAGGUUCUGGCACUGCCAAAGAUUGCGAGAGGAGGAUUGGGAGCAGUAACUCAUUUAGCUUUAAAGUAUCUAUAUAAAUGACAAUUAAAAAUUGCAUAAAUAAAUGCUGGUCUAAGCAGUACUGCAUUUUUCUAUUCAAAACAAGAAUGAGAAGAGUCCUUUGCCCGCAGACAUCAGAAUUUGUCAAACAGUUCAAUCUCUAGUAAAGAGCGUCAUUAACUUGUCAAUUCAGAAUAACCUCAAAAGGGAGGGGGGAAAGCAGAGAGAUGAGGAUUAAAGCAUGUUUUUAUUAAGAUGUUUUUCAAGCACCAAUGGCUGAAUUUUAACUGGAAAUUUUAAAGGCCAUUUCAAUAAUAAAACGUUUCAGUCCUUCA